CAUCCACAGAUGCUGGCUCAGCAAAGGCUGUGUUCUUUUGAAUCCUCUUAGCUUGGAGAGAGCUAAGGUGGUUCACAUCUUACUGCACAUCAACCAAGCUCUGCUCUGAAGCCUGCGUCACUAAUUUUCUGUGGAUUAUUUUCCUGUAAUAUUCCAUUUUGACACUGCCAACUUGAAUUACCUACAGCGUGCUCUAUUUUAGAUGAACACUGAAAACAGAGCAGAUGCAGCAGUGCUGUUCAUCUCCUGUGACCUGAGACAGCAAGGCCAGACUACGUACUCCACUGUUCCGGGCCUUGAGGCUGUUGUGAGGCCAAGGCCCUCCCUCAACAUGGCUGCCACUCCCCAGUGCUGUGGACCGGCGGCAAGCAGCAGCGAGCCUCGGCUGGUGGCCGCGCUGAGAAAGCCUUUUCCCAUUGUUCUCAACAAGGUCUGUGUUUUAUGAAGCCUCACAGUAUAGCCAGUCGCCACCUCCCCCAAGGGCAAUGGCAGUUUUUGUUUCACGGAGAACAAUGAAUGAUGUUGGGCAGCCUAAAAACAAUUCUGCAUGUGGAAAAAACAACAACAACAAAAAUAACAGUGAGUGUGGCCAUUCAUAAUAAGCAUCUGUGAGGAAACAGCCUAUUGUGCCAGACUCUCUAUGGAGAAGCUGAGUGGUAGGUGGGUGGCAGCAUGCUUGUUUGCCACAGUGAAUGGGAGACCAGGAGUACCAUCCUUGGAGGAAAGAUGGAGAGGAAAAAUGGGCACGUGCUGAAGGAUGGCUCCAGGCACACACCAUUGUAGGCAAAAUACUAUUUUCCUGCUCAGAGGAGGAGGAUGUCACUUCAACUCAGCAAUGGAGAAAUGGUGAACAGCUGAAGCAGGGGGCUCAGGGAAAAUGUGUGAGGAACUUGAACAGCCACUGCCACUAUCACAAAGAGUACAGAAAAACAAGGGACAUGGAAUAAGGCUGCUUGGUUGUGCUACCUUCCUCCCUCAGCAGUGGAGGUAACAAAACAUCUGGGAUUCAGUGUGCAGAAAGAAAGGAGUGCUAGGGUCUGUCUGUCUAUCUGUCUAUCUAUAUCCAU
ensembl:lncRNA